AACACGUACGCUUUGUAAACAUCAUUUAUAAACAUUUUCAAGUGAGAUUUUUUUCUCAAUACGUUGUGAAAUUCUUUAACAGCACACGACAGCCCAGCCUGAAACCCCCUAGGUGGUUUAUGGAGUAGUGUUACCGUCUUUUAAAGAUGAAUUCAUUUGUACUCCGCUGCCUGGAACCGUCCACUCCAUGUUGACUUCCGCAAUUGAUGACGUUGACGUGUUUGCGUGUACAGAGUCGUUGGUCGACUCUUCUUCGUUGGUAUAAUGUUCUUGUUCGAUCGUCCUCCAUGACAGUGUUUCCAAAUUAAAAAUGUGAAAUUAUAGAACCAGAAACUUCAAAUUGUCCAUUUUUAGACGUUUCUCGAAACCAUCUGCUACAAUACAAAGACACAUCGUAUGAGUUAUUUUCUAUCUUCAAAAAAACUAACAGACGAACAGCGCCCCUUCCUGGCUGUAAAGACGCACGUGAGACGAGGCACAAAAUCAGGUGCAGUACAGAAAUUUGUUAAAGUUAAAGAACCGAUAAUUGUCACACACACACACAACGUGUGGCAAAAUUAUUCUCUGCAUUUGACCCAUCACCCUUGAUCACCCCCUGGGAGGUGAGAGGAGCAGUGAGCAGCAGCGGUGGCCGCGCCCGGGAAUCAUUUUUUGGUGAUUGAACUCCCAAUUCCAACCCUUAAUGCUGAGUGUCAAGCAGGGAGGAGAGGAGGUGCACAGAUUCGGUGACCACAGAUGAGCGCGAGCUGUCCAAAGUCGGGACCCAGGGUGGACCACUCUUCUGUGCAUUAGUUGGGGACGUCUCUGCGCUGCUGACCUGUCUCCGCGCUGCUGACCUGUCUCCGCUCGAGAUGAUCUCCUGCUGGAAUCCACUAUGGACUCAAGUUUCAUUAUUAUGUUAGAUCCACUAUGGAUUGAACUCUCACUAUUAUGUUGUAUCCACUAUGGACUGCACUCUAACACUCGGCGUCCAUUGCACCGGUCGCACAGGGGAAGGGGUCCCCACAUCUGCGGUCCCCUCCAAGGUGUCUCAUAGUCAUUCACAUUGACAUCCCACUGGGUUGUGAGUUUUUCCUUGCCCUGUUUUGGGAUCUGAACCGAGGAUGUCGUUGUGGCUUGUGCAGCCCUUUUAAACACUUGUGAUUUUGAGCUAUAUAAGUAAACAUUGAUUGAUUGAA